rnacentral:rRNA from 1 species
CCUACGGGAGGCAGCAGUGAGGAAUAUUGGUCAAUGGACGAGAGUCUGAACCAGCCAAGUAGCGUGAAGGAUGACUGCCCUAUGGGUUGUAAACCUCUUUUAUAUGGGAAUAAAAUGUUCCACGUGUGGGAUUUUGCAUGUACCAUAUGAAUAAGGAUCGGCUAACUCCGUGCCAGCAGCCGCGGUAAUACGGAGGAUCCGAGCGUUAUCCGGAUUUAUUGGGUUUAAAGGGGGCGUAGGUGGAUUGUUAAGUCAGUUGUGAAAGUUUGGGGCUCAACCGUAGAAUUGCAGUUGAAACUGGCAGUCUUGAGUACAGUAGAGGUGGGCGGAAUUCGUGGUGUAGCGGUGAAAUGCUUAGAUAUCACGAAGAACUCCGAUUGCGAAGGCAGUUCACUGGACUGCAACUGACGCUGAGGCUCGAAAGUGUGGGUAUCGAACAGGAUUAGAUACCCGGGUAGUC